GGCGAACGCUGGCGGCGUGCUUAACACAUGCAAGUCGAACGGAAAGGCCCUGCUUUUGUGGGGUGCUCGAGUGGCGAACGGGUGAGUAACACGUGAGUAACCUGCCCUUGACUUUGGGAUAACUUCAGGAAACUGGGGCUAAUACCGGAUAGGAGCUCCUGCUGCAUGGUGGGGGUUGGAAAGUUUCGGCGGUUGGGGAUGGACUCGCGGCUUAUCAGCUUGUUGGUGGGGUAGUGGCUUACCAAGGCUUUGACGGGUAGCCGGCCUGAGAGGGUGACCGGCCACAUUGGGACUGAGAUACGGCCCAGACUCCUACGGGAGGCAGCAGUGGGGAAUAGUGCACAAUGGGCGGAAGCCUGAUGCAGCAACGCCGCGUGCGGGAUGACGGCCUUCGGGUUGUAAACCGCUUUCGCCUGUGACGAAGCGUGAGUGACGGUAAUGGGUAAAGAAGCACCGGCUAACUACGUG
rnacentral:rRNA from 1 species